CAAAUCAAUAUUUCAAGAGCCACAAUGCAUGUGAAUACGAGGCGGUCCUUAAAAAAUAACGUCACGUGGCAGUCCUUAAAGAGCAGCAUGCGGCUCCGGAACCGCAAAUUGCCAACUCCUGGUAUAGCGGGUCCCAUCUCACCCCCUCAUCCUCCCCCACCAUCUCGCCCUCGAGGACAGCUGAAGCGAUGCACGUUGGCACGGGGCGAUCUCGGCCGUGAGAUAACAAAACCUCACACAGAGCCAUCAAAUGAACGCUCGAGGUGUGGCGCUCAAGCGGUGAAACCGGUGCCCGCGAAACCGGCACACGGCGACGCUGGCAGCCCGCUGGCAGCCCGCCGGCAGCAUGGACAGCGCCUGACAGCGCCGCAACACCACCAACAAUGGGAACACGAAGAGGCGCGCUAAUAAUAAACUUGCAAAAAGAGCGACUGUCGCUCCCCAUUUGUCAAGGCGGAGGCACCGUCCGGUGUCCCUUUGCCCUGAAUUAUUUAUUUUCCCAUCUGGUGCCGGUCUCUCCUCUCCCUUUAUCUCUUUCUCUCCUCCUCUUCAUCUGUCUCUCCCUCUCUCUCUCUCUGUUUCUCUCCCCAGGAUGGAGGAGAAUGUCAGGUGACCGAGACAGGCCUUCGAAUGGCACAUUGACGUCAGCGACCAGAGAGUAACGAGAGAGAGGGGGAGAGAGCAUGAGGAUGCCGACAGGGCAGGGAGAGCAGGUGACAUGGAGAUGAUGCAAUCAAGCAGACAGGCAAGCGAAGAUGAAGGUGCAGGAGAGGGAGGGGAGGAGCUUGGACCUCGCCCAAAUCAGCCAAAUGUUAAUGUCAUACCUAGUCAAACCCUAUCAAAUAAGACACUCUACUUUCAGGAGAAAUGGUUUAAAGAUUAUACUUGGCUUCAUUACAGACCCUCCUUAAAGGGGAUCCUCUGUUUCUAUUGUGCUAAAUACUUUGCAACACAAAAGUCUAAGCUUGCGUCAAAAGCAGAUUCAGCUUUUGUCAAGACUGGUUUUCAAAAUUUGAAGGCACUGGACAAAUUUAGUGCGCAUGAAGACAGCCAGUGUCACAGAUUAGCUGUGAUGACUCGGAUUCAGGAGCCAAGACCUGUUAAUGUGCAACUUUCACGUGAGCUUGAAAGACAGCAGCAACAAGCGAGGAGAAACCUUAUGAAGAUUGUUGGGGGUGUGAAGUACUUGGCACGGCAAGGUCUGGCUUUUCGAGGCGUUGAUAAGGAGAGUGGGAAUUUCAGCCAGCUUCUAAAGUACAAGGCAGAGGGCAAUGCAGAGCUGACCACCUGGCUGUGAAAGGUCACUUUGAUUUCACCAGUCCCCAAAUGCAAAACGAAAUUUUGAAGCUGGUGGGCAAUACAAUCGUCAAAUAAAUUGUGUCGGAAAUAACAUCAAUGCCAGUGGUCCAGUUCGCACUUAUCAUUGAUGGCACCCAGGAAAUAUCAGGUGCUGAGCAGGAGUCAAUAUUUUGCGCUUUGUAGAUGAAGAUCUACAACCAAAGGACGAAUUCCUGGGACUCUACAAAGUGUCAUCAACGACAGGGCAAAAUAUAUCCAAGAUGGCAUGUGAUGAUGCGUCUAGGCCUUCCUCUGUCCCAACUUCGAGGACGAAGCUAUGACGGUGCUGCAAAUAUGGCUGGAUGAUUGCAGGAGGCGCAAGCCAUUUUAAGGAAAGAACAACCGCUGGCUAUGUAUUGUCACUGUGGUCCACACUGCGUGAACUUAGUUACGCAGGCUGCCUGUGUAGCCUCUCCGCUAGUAAGAUUAUAAUCAAUGAGUCCGGUGCAUGAAUUGGGGGGCUUCUUUAAUCAAUCUGGCAAGAUAUAGGAAUAGGUUUUACCAUUUUAACUGGCACAAAAACUGACACCUUUAUUCAAGGCAUCAUGUUUGC